UACGGGGGGGGCAAGCGUUGUUCGGAAUUACUGGGCGUAAAGCGUGCGUAGGUGGUUUGUUAAGUCUGAUGUGAAAGCCCUGGGCUCAACCUGGGAAUUGCAUUGGAUACUGGCAGGCUAGAGUGCGGUAGAGGGUAGUGGAAUUCCCGGUGUAGCAGUGAAAUGCGUAGAGAUCGGGAGGAACAUCUGUGGCGAAGACGACUGCCUGGACCAGCACUGACACUGAGGCACGAAAGCGUGGGGAGCAAACAGG
rnacentral:rRNA from 1 species